rnacentral:misc_RNA from 1 species
GUUAAAUUAAAUAAAGAGUAUAGCUAACAAACAACGCAACUGUGGUGGUGCAAUAUGGUUUACGAUUCGUGAACAUAGUUCGUGUUUGUAAUCAUUAAAACGUGUGUUUUCCUUAGAUUUAAUAAUGAAUAACGAGAGAAAAACCAAGAUACCAGCGGCACCUACAUUUUCUAGCAGCGGCAACCUGUUGUCGAAUGUCGCACCACCAACAGAAUUGCCAAAUUUUGUAACCACAACCGCGUCGCAAAAUCCACCGGCUUCCAAGACUCCUGAUGUGGUUCCACCAGCAUAUGCAAUACCAGCAUCACAACUUCCACCUGUAAGCCAAAAUAUUGGCACAAAACCUGACCAGCCCUCACCAGAGAGCCCUGAGAAGUUUAGUCCAGCCAUACCACUAUGCAAAGGAGAGCCUACUUUACCCAUAAGGUCACCAGAAGACUCUUUGACAACUCUGUCACCUGAGUCAAUGCCUGAUUCUAUCCCAGAUAUGGAAAUGGAGAAGAUUGGUGACAUAAUGCCAGGCAGUGGCUUACUCACAUGGAUGAAAGGUGCUGUCUCUACUGGAGGGAUUUUACAAAGAGUAGCAGAGAAGGCAAAGAGUUCAGUAGACUCAAUGAUAACCACACUAGACCCACAAAUGAAGGAAUAUCUAAGAAGUGGCGGCGAUAUGGUCGUAGUUGUUGCAUCAGAUAAAGAAGCAAAAGUGUCCCCGGUCAGAGAGGCUUUCCAAACUGUCUUCGGAAAAGCAACUGUAGUCGGCUACCCGGCGGUCAGUGACGUCACAGCCGAGCAGCCCGUCAGCUACGCAGCCGCGUACGCGUCCGCCAAGCAGCGCAUCGCGUACAUCCGCUCCGUGCACGGCGAGCUCACCAACAACGUGCCCGUGCUCGCUGUCGAGGGCUUCGUGCAGGAGACAGUCACUGACAGAUGGUACGCCUUGGACCUGCUGGUGCUGUCGCAGCCGUCGCUCGGCAUCGAGCUGCAAGUGCAGUCGCAGGCGACGCCGGUGCCGGCGGCGGCGGUGGCGGCGGCGCAGGCGGCCACCCUACCCGACUACACCCACGCGCAGACCGGCUACAGUGUCACCAUCGGUUCCAUCAUGGCUGCCAACUUACAGGUUCCACACACUCAGUGGCAAGAGGCGGCGACGGGCGUGUCUCGGAGGGAAAUACUACUUUUGGCGGCAAAAUCACUUGCGGGCUCCUUCAAGAAGUUGUUGGCAGUGUCCGCUGCUGAGGAAUAGAAAUACAAUUUAUCGUUAAAAUAUAAAAUAUUGGAAUAUUAAUUAUAUUACGUGAGCACAAAAUUUAUGAAGAAUCUACGUUUUAUUUAGUUUUAAGUAUGUUGUAAGUGAUAUAGUUUAAAAGUACUAAAAUACUUAUAAAAUAAAAGACCUUUUAAAGACUGAA